rnacentral:rRNA from 1 species
UGGGGAAUAUUGGACAAUGGGCGCAAGCCUGAUCCAGCAAUACCGCGUGUGUGAAGAAGGCCUGAGGGUUGUAAAGCACUUUCGUCGAGGAGGAAGUGUGCGUUGUUAAUAGCGACGCAUGUUGACGUUACUCGAAGAAGAAGCACCGGCUAACUCUGUGCCAGCAGCCGCGGUAAUACAGAGGGUGCAAGCGUUAAUCGGAAUUACUGGGCGUAAAGCGUGCGUAGGUGGUUACUUAAGUCAAAUGUGAAAGCCCUGGGCUCAACCUAGGAAUUGCAUCUGAUACUGGGUAACUAGAGUAUGGUAGAGGAUGGCGGAAUUUCCGGUGUAGCGGUGAAAUGCGUAGAUAUCGGAAGGAACACCAGUGGCGAAGGCGGCCGUCUGGGCCAAUACUGACACUGAGGCACGAAAGCGUGGGUAGCAAACAG